GCCUAACACAUGCAAGUCGAACGGUAGCACAGAGAGCUUGCUCUCGGGUGACGAGUGGCGGACGGGUGAGUAAUGUCUGGGAAACUGCCCGAUGGAGGGGGAUAACUACUGGAAACGGUAGCUAAUACCGCAUAACGUCGCAAGACCAAAGUGGGGGACCUUCGGGCCUCACACCAUCGGAUGUGCCCAGAUGGGAUUAGCUAGUAGGUGGGGUAAUGGCUCACCUAGGCGACGAUCCCUAGCUGGUCUGAGAGGAUGACCAGCCACACUGGAACUGAGACACGGUCCAGACUCCUACGGGAGGCAGCAGUGGGGAAUAUUGCACAAUGGGCGCAAGCCUGAUGCAGCCAUGCCGCGUGUAUGAAGAAGGCCUUCGGGUUGUAAAGUACUUUCAGCGGGGAGGAAGGCGGUGAAGUUAAUAGCUUCACCGAUU
rnacentral:rRNA from 1 species